CCUGACCUUCGGAUCAGACGUGAAUACCCCGCUGAACUUAAGCAUAUCA
rnacentral:rRNA from 1 species